UGUGUAGGCGGGCGGGUAAGUCGGACGUGAAAACUCCAGGCUCAACCUGGAGCCUGCGUUCGAAACUACCUGUCUUGAGUACGGGAGAGGAAAGUGGAAUUCCUGGUGUAGCGGUGAAAUGCGUAGAUAUCAGGAGGAACACCGGUGGCGAAGGCGGCUUUCUAGCCCGAUACUGACGCUGAGACACGAAGGCUAGGGGAGCAAACA
rnacentral:rRNA from 1 species